UGUCCUACGCGUGGUCUUUUGCAAAAUGUAGUUCAUGGUUAUGUCUGCUUCCCUCUGCUCUGAACUCACUUUUCAAUCUUUUAAAUCGUUAGUGGUAGCUUACAACUGAAAUUUUAGCUUGAGGACCACCCUGAACAUA